CCUACGGGUGGCUGCAGAGAGGAAUAUUGGUCAAUGGACGAGAGUCUGAACCAGCCAAGUAGCGUGAAGGAUGACUGCCCUAUGGGGUGUAAACUUCUUGUAUAGGGGAAUAAAAUGUACCACGUGUGGGAUUUUGUAUGUACCAUAUGAAUAAGGAUCGGCUAACUCCGUGCCAGCAGCCGCGGUAAGACGGAGGAACCGAGCGUUAGCCGGAUUUAUUGGGUUUAAAGGGAGCGUAGGGGGAUUGUUAAGGCAGUUUUGAAAGUUUGCGGCUCAACCGGAAACUUGCAGUUGAAACUGGCAGUCUUGAGUACAGUAGAGGUGGGCGGCUUUCGUGGUGUAGCGGUG
rnacentral:rRNA from 1 species